rnacentral:rRNA from 1 species
UGGGGAAUUUUGGACAAUGGGGGAAACCCUGAUCCAGCCAUCCCGCGUGUGCGAUGAAGGCCUUCGGGUUGUAAAGCACUUUUGGCAGGAAAGAAACGUCAUGGGUUAAUACCCCGUGAAACUGACGGUACCUGCAGAAUAAGCACCGGCUAACUACGUGCCAGCAGCCGCGGUAAUACGUAGGGUGCAAGCGUUAAUCGGAAUUACUGGGCGUAAAGCGUGCGCAGGCGGUUCGGAAAGAAAGAUGUGAAAUCCCAGAGCUCAACUUUGGAACUGCAUUUUUAACUACCGGGCUAGAGUGUGUCAGAGGGAGGUGGAAUUCCGCGUGUAGCAGUGAAAUGCGUAGUUAUGCGGAGGAACACCGAUGGCGAAGGCAGCCUCCUGGGAUAUCACUGACGCUCAUGCACGAAAGCGUGGGGAGCAAACAGG